CCUACGGGUGGCUGCAGUGGGGAAUAUUGGGCAAUGGGCGAAAGCCUGACCCAGCAACGCCGCGUGAAGGAAGAAGGCUUUCGGGUUGUAAACUUCUUUUGACAGGGAAGAGCAGAAGACGGUACCUGUCGAAUAAGCCACGGCUAACUAAGUGCCAGCAGCCGCGGUUAUACGUAGGUGGCAAGCGUUGUCCGGAGUGACUGGGUGUAAAGGGCGUGCAGCCGGGAAGACAAGUCAGAUGUGAAAUCCUGCGGCUCAACCGCGGAACUGCAUUUGACACUGUUUUUCUUGAGUAUCGGAGAGGUAAUCGGAAUUCCUAGUGUAGCGGUGAAAUGCGUAGAGAUUAGGAGGAACACCAGUGGCGAAGGCGGAUUACUGGACGACAACUGACGGUGAGGCGCGAAAGCGUGGGGAGCAAACAGGAUUAGAUACCCUGGUAGUC
rnacentral:rRNA from 1 species